rnacentral:tRNA from 1 species
CUGGGAGAUGGGCUGGGUCAAGCCGCUGGUCGCCAAGGCCGAUCGCGGCCAGUCGGUCGCCGUCAUCGGCGCCGGUCCGGCCGGCCUGUCGGCC